CCUACGGGAGGCAGCAGUGGGGAAUUUUGGACAAUGGGCGCAAGCCUGAUCCAGCCAUGCCGCGUGCGGGAAGAAGGCCUUCGGGUUGUAAACCGCUUUUGGCAGGAACGAAACGGCGCGAGCGAAUAUCUCGCGCUAAUGACGGUACCUGCAGAAUAAGCACCGGCUAACUACGUGCCAGCAGCCGCGGUAAUACGUAGGGUGCAAGCGUUAAUCGGAAUUACUGGGCGUAAAGCGUACGCAGGCGGCUUUGCAAGACAGGUGUGAAAUCCCCGGGCCUAACCUGGGAACUGCAUUUGUGACUGCAUGGCUAGAGUUUGUCAGAGGGGGGUGGAAUUCCACGUGUAGCAGUGAAAUGCGUAGAUAUGUGGAGGAACACCGAUGGCGAAGGCAGCCCCCUGGGAUGUGACUGACGCUCAUGUACGAAAGCGUGGGGAGCAAACAGGAUUAGAUACCCUGGUAGUCCACGCCCUAAACGAUGUCGACUGGUUGUUGGGGGUUUGACACUCUCAGUAACGAAGCUAACGCGUGAAGUCGACCGCCUGGGGAGUACGGCCGCAAGGUUAAAACUCAAAGGAAUUGACGG
rnacentral:rRNA from 1 species